rnacentral:rRNA from 1 species
AUUGAACGCUGGCGGCAGGCCUAACACAUGCAAGUCGAGCGGGGUUUUCGGACCUAGCGGCGGACGGGUGAGUAAUGCGUAGGAAGCUGCCCGAUAGAGGGGGAUACCAGUUGGAAACGACUGUUAAUACCGCAUAAUGUCUACGGACCAAAGUGUGGGACCUUCGGGCCACAUGCUAUCGGAUGCGCCUACGUGGGAUUAGCUAGUUGGUGAGGUAAUGGCUCACCAAGGCGACGAUCUGUAGCUGGUUUGAGAGGAUGAUCAGCCACACUGGAACUGAGACACGGUCCAGACGCCUACGGGAGGCAGCAGUGGGGAAUAUUGGACAAUGGGCGCAAGCAUGAUCCAGCCAUGCCGCGUGUGUGAAGAAGGCCUUCGGGUUGUAAAGCACUUUCAGCGAGGAGGAAGGGUGGUGUGUAAAUAGCACAUCAUUUUGACGUUACUCGCAGAAGAAGCACCGGCUAACUCUGUGCCAGCCGCCGCCGUAACAC